rnacentral:tRNA from 1 species
CAGGGGAUAGUUUAUUUAAAAUAUUAAUUUUGGAGAUUAAUGAUAAGAGAUUUUCUUUCCCUUGA